CCCCUUCGGGAUGUUGAAGUCAUUGCAUACCUCUUGGCUGGUCUUGGCUCGGAUUACGAUCCGUUUGUCACGUCUAUGACCACCAAGAGCGAGGCCCUCUCCCUCGAUGAUGUCUACUCGUAUUUCUUGGCGUUUGAGGC